UUUAUCGAAGGUUCUAUGACACAAUAGUUUUGGUCAUCCAAGGUUCAUUUUAAAAAUUAUAGCCAGUCUCAAAGCACUUAGUACAGACUGAAACCCUUUAAUAGGCAUCCCAGACUACUUGCGAAUGAAAAGCUUCUGAGCCAAAGCCAACCUGAGUGGCUUUGGUCCUUCUGUUUCAGAAUCAGACUAGCAGAGAGAAGGGCAUAAACUUAUGGAGCAGAGAACUGUCUUGGGUGCUCUGCACUCUGGUGAGGGUAGCCCAGCCAUCCACUUGCCUGAGAAUGGUACCUGGCCCCGCCCUGAAGUACAACCAUGAAGAUGAAGUACCACCCUCAGGAAGCCUGUGACCCACACCUGAUACUUUAGAAGUUGACCAUGUAUAAACCAAGAAAGAGAUUGUGGUGAGGACACAAGAAGGCAGCCAUCUGCAAGCCUGGAAGAGAACCUUCACCAGACUCCAAGCAUGCUGACACCCUGACCUUAGACUUCCAAGUUUUCAGAACCAUGAGAAAAUGAAUGCUUGCUGUUUAAAGCACCCAGUGUAUGGAUUUUAUUAUGGCAACUCAAGAAGACUAAGACAUAAACAAAAAUGUAUUUUAGUUAAUACAAUACGUGUAGAUGUACAUAUGUGAAUUUGAAAAUUAACUAAGAUGUGUGAGUUAGCUGCCUUGCUCAGGCAUCUGACAGAUCCCUCUGCCAAGGUGGAUCUCAAUACAUGAAGAUCUGAGAUGACAUCUGAACUAUCUGAAAGACAGUGUGCCUCCAAAAUGGGUUUUCAUGUAAUCUGUGCUAAAAAUCCAAUUCCUGACAUCUAUUUUUUUAGAGUUCACUAUCAGUUUAUGAACGCAUUAUAAUAACCCUGGACUUGAACACUCAGAGCAGGUAAUAACUAGAAGGUUAGAAUAUGACUUAAUGAGGUCCCAUCCGCCCCAGAUCUUGAUGGGCUCUUGUGACCAGUACUUCUCUAGUUUGCCAGAUUUUAGGCCCUAAAAAUGACAGUAUUUUGCAGUGAAAUGAGACCCAAUUAAAGUUUAAUGAGUAGAUUUCAUUUCUGUCCUACAGUAACAUAGAAACAUGCUUGCUGGACUCUUUAGCACACCCUUCUGUACUUCCUUUUAAUAUUGAUGCUAGCCCUCCAGAGCCCAGCACAUGCAAGUGGACACAGUUAAAGAAUAUUCUUAAUGGAAAUGUCAGGGACAAGGUGAAAGGAAAGAAGUCUAGACACCAUCCAUUUCCUCAGAUCAAUUGAAAAAAAAUUUAAAGUGUACCCCACAUCAGAAAUUAUAUUAGGGAACUUAAUGCCAUGGCUUCCUUGGUAGAUGAUUGUAAUAUAAACAUCUAGCAUUUGGCUACAUCUAUUAUGUCCUAAUUUAUUCCAAUUAAGGGAUGUAAAAUAAGUCAAAUGACCUCUUUCUUUCUCUGCUUCUCUCUUUUUUAAAGUCCUAUAGUCAUAACGCGCAAUAAAAGAUCUUGAUAAUGAUGAGUUAAAGUGUUUUAAAUACUUCUGUAAAAAAAAUUUCUGUAAAAUUUAAGUAUUUUAAAUACUCCAAAGCCAAAAUGGGAUAACAACAUAUUCUUUAUUAUUGUUCAGUUAUGUUAUAUGUUAUGAAUAAAU